AGAGUUUGAUCCUGGCUCAGGAUGAACGCUAGCGGCAGGCCUAACACAUGCAAGUCGAGGGGUAACAGAAAAGCUUGCUUUUGCUGACGACCGGCGCACGGGUGCGUAACGCGUAUGCAACCUACCUCAUACUGGAGGAUAGCCCCUGGAAACGGGGAUUAAUACUCCAUAGUAUCACAAUUUCGCAUGUUAUUGUGAUUAAAGUUUUUCGGUAUGAGAUGGGCAUGCGUCCCAUUAGCUUGUUGGUGAGGUAACGGCUCACCAAGGCAACGAUGGGUAGGGGGCCUGAGAGGGUGGUCCCCCACACUGGUACUGAGACACGGACCAGACUCCUACGGGAGGCAGCAGUGAGGAAUAUUGGUCAAUGGAGGAAACUCUGAACCAGCCAUGCCGCGUGAAGGAUGACGGCCCUAUGGGUUGUAAACUUCUUUUAUAGAGGAAGAAACUUGUCUACGUGUAGACAACUGACGGUACUCUACGAAUAAGGAUCGGCUAACUCCGUGCCAGCAGCCGCGGUAAUACGGAGGAUCCAAGCGUUAUCCGGAUUCAUUGGGUUUAAAGGGUCCGUAGCGGAUUUUUAAGUCAGUGGUGAAAGCCGACAGCUCAACUGUCGAACUGCCAUUGAUACUGGAAAUCUUGAGUACAAAUGAAGUAGGCGGAAUGAGUCAUGUAGCGGUGAAAUGCAUAGAUAUGACUCAGAACACCGAUUGCGAAGGCAGCUUACUAACAUGUAACUGACGCUGAGGGACAAAAGCGUGGGGAGCGAACAGGAUUAGAUACCCUGGUAGUCCACGCCGUAAACGAUCAUCACUCGCUGUUGGCGAUAUACUGUCAGCGGCCAAGCGAAAGUAUUAAGUGAUGCACCUGGGGAGUACGCCGGCAACGUGAAACUCAAAGGAAUUGACGGGGGCCCGCACAAGCGGUGGAGCAUGUGGUUUAAUUCGAUGAUACGCGAGGACCUUACCAGGGCUUAAAUGUAGUUUGACCGGCUUGGAAACAGGCCUUCUCUUC
rnacentral:rRNA from 1 species